rnacentral:misc_RNA from 1 species
GAAAUGCGAUAAGUAGUGUGAAUUGCAGAAUUCAGUGAAUCAUCGAAUCUUUGAACGCACAUUGCGCCCCUUGGUAUUCCAUGGGGCAUGCCUGUUCGAGCGUCAUCUACACCCUCAAGCUCUGCUUGGUGUUGGGCGUCUGUCCCGCCCCCGCGCGUGGACUCGCCCCAAAUCCAUUGGCAGCGUUCCUUGCCCCCUCUCGCGCAGCACAUUGCGCUUCUCGAGGGCGGCUCCGGGACGCGAUCCAGCAAGAUGAUCACCGUCUUUGACCUCGGAUCAGGUAGGGAUACCCGCUGAACUUAAGC